GAACGUGUUCCCCCAAAUUCAUGUCCUGAAACUUCGUGGGAAUGCGAUAGUACUGAGAGGAGGGGCCUUUAGGAGACGAUUAAGUCAGAAGAGUGGAGCCCCCGUUAUGGGAUUAGGACCCUUAUAAAAGGGAUUUGGAGAGUGGGCUCCCUUUGUUACCGUGUGAGGACGCCCGGGCGGUGCUAUCAGUGAGGAACGGGCCGUCCUUAGACAUGGAACCUGCUGCGACCUUGAUCUUGGACCUCCCAGCUUCCAGAACUGCUUUCUGAAGGGAGGUGAGACAAAAAUGUGUGAUCCACGAGGACAGGAAAUCGAGACCAUCCUGGCUAACACGAUGAAAUCCCGCCUCUACUAAAAAUACAAAAAAUUAGCCGGGCGUG
rnacentral:lncRNA from 1 species